rnacentral:rRNA from 1 species
AUGAGAGCUUGCUCUUGAUGACGAGUGGCGCACGGGUGAGUAACGCGUAUGCAAUCUACCUAUAACUGAGGAAUAGCCCAGAGAAAUUUGGAUUAAUACCUCAUAAUAUUAUUAUUUGGCAUCAUUUAAUAAUUAAAACUCCGGUGGUUAUAGAUGAGCAUGCGUUCUAUUAGCUAGUUGGUGAGGUAAGAGCUCACCAAGGCUACGAUAGAUAGGGGGCCUGAAAGGGUGAUCCCCCACACUGGUACUGAGACACGGACCAGACUCCUACGGGAGGCAGCAGUGAGGAAUAUUGCACAAUGGAGGAAACUCUGAUGCAGCCAUGCCGCGUGCAGGAUGAAGGCCCUAUGGGUUGUAAACUGCUUUUUUACAAGAAGAAACCUUGGUACGUGUACCAACUUGACGGUAUUGUAAGAAUAAGCACCGGCUAACUCCGUGCCAGCAGCCGCGGUAAUACGGAGGGUGCAAGCGUUAUCCGGAUUUAUUAGGUUUAAAGGGUUCGCAGGCGGAAUUUUAAGUCA